rnacentral:sRNA from 1 species
AUGGCUGUCGUCAGCUCGUGUCGUGAGAUGUUGGGUUAAGUCCCGCAACGAGCGCAACCCUUGUCCUAUGUUGCCAGCGGGUAAUGCCGGGGACUCGUAGGAGACUGCCGGGGUCAACUCGGAGGAAGGUGGGGACGACGUCAAGUCAUCAUGCCCCUUACGUCCAGGGCUGCACACAUGCUACAAUGGCCGGUACAGAGGGCUGCUAUCCCGCGAGGGUGAGCGAAUCCCAAAAAGCCGGUCUCAGUUCGGAUUGCAGUCUGCAACUCGACUGCAUGAAGUCGGAGUCGCUAGUAAUCCCGGAUCAGCAACGCCGGGGUGAAUACGUUCCCGGGCCUUGUACACACCGCCCGUCAAACCACGAAAGUCGGCAACACCCGAAGCCGGUCACCCAACCACUUUGUGGAGGGAGCCGUCGAAGGUGGGGUCGGUGAUUGGGGUUAAGUCGUAACAAGGUAGCCGUACCGGAAGGUGCGGCUGGAUCACCUCCUUUCUAAGGAGUCACGUUUACUCGACGUGCACUUUGUGCGUCGAUGCAGUGACAUCCCAGUCGGUCACUGGUUACUCGAGGUUGCUGACAUCUCGGUCGGUACGUAUGUCCUUCGGGACAUCCCGUCCGGGCGCUGACAGUGACUUGGGGCUGUUCCUGUUCCGCUUUCAGGGAGUGACGAUGCGUGUCCGCGCGCUCCUUGAGAACUCCAUAGCGAGCACGAGCAUCUGAUUCUCCAAGCUACAAAGAGCCAACGGUGGAUGCCUUGGCGCCUGAAGCCGAUGAAGGACGUGGGAGGCUGCGAAAAGCCACGGGGAGCUGCCUACCAAGCUUCGAUCCGUGGACGUCCGAAUGGGGAAACCCGG